rnacentral:rRNA from 1 species
AUUGAACGCUGGCGGCAGGCCUAACACAUGCAAGUCGAGCGGAGCGGCGGACGGGUGAGUAAUGCCUAGGCAUCUGCCUGGUCGUGGGGGAUCACGUCCGGCAACGGGCGCUAAUACCGCAUACUCUCCGAGUAGCCUAGGUGUGAUUAGCUAGUUUGUGGGGUAAAGGCCAACCAAGGCGACGAUCCGUAACUGGUCUGAGAGGAUGAUCAGUCACACUGGAACUGAGACACGUUCCAGACUCCGAAGGGAGGCAGCAGUGGGGAAUAUUGGACAAUGGGCGAAAGCCUGAUCCAGCCAUGCCGCGUGUGUGAAGAAGGUCUUCGGAUUGUAAAGCACUUUAAGUUGGGAGGCGUUACCAACAGAAGAAGCACCGGCUAACUUCGUGACAGCAGCCGCGGUAAUAC